rnacentral:rRNA from 1 species
ACGCUGGCGGUAGGCCUAACACAUGCAAGUCGAACGGCAGCACAGUAAGAGCUUGCUCUUACGGGUGGCGAGUGGCGGACGGGUGAGGAAUACAUCGGAAUCUACUUUUUCGUGGGGGAUAACGUAGGGAAACUUACGCUAAUACCGCAUACGACCUACGGGUGAAAGCAGGGGAUCUUCGGACCUUGCGCGAUUGAAUGAGCCGAUGUCGGAUUAGCUAGUUGGCGGGGUAAAGGCCCACCAAGGCGACGAUCCGUAGCUGGUCUGAGAGGAUGAUCAGCCACACUGGAACUGAGACACGGUCCAGACUCCUACGGGAGGCAGCAGUGGGGAAUAUUGGACAAUGGGCGCAAGCCUGAUCCAGCCAUACCGCGUGGGUGAAGAAGGCCUUCGGGUUGUAAAGCCCUUUUGUUGGGAAAGAAAAGCAGCAGGUUAAUACCCCGCUGUUCUGACGGUACCCAAAGAAUAAGCACCGGCUAACUUCGUG